rnacentral:rRNA from 1 species
GACGAACGCUGGCGGCGUGCUUAACACAUGCAAGUCGAACGGAAAGGCCCUGCUUUUGUGGGGUGCUCGAGUGGCGAACGGGUGAGUAACACGUGAGUAACCUGCCCUUUACUUUGGGAUAACUUCAGGAAACUGGGGCUAAUACCGGAUAGGAGCUCCUGCUGCAUGGUGGGGGUUGGAAAGUUUCGGCGGUUGGGGAUGGACUCGCGGCUUAUCAGCUUGUUGGUGGGGUAGUGGCUUACCAAGGCUUUGACGGGUAGCCGGCCUGAGAGGGUGACCGGCCACAUUGGGACUGAGAUACGGCCCAGACUCCUACGGGAGGCAGCAGUGGGGAAUAUUGCACAAUGGGCGGAAGUCUGAUGCAGCAACGCCGCGUGCGGGAUGACGGCCUUCGGGUUGUAAACCGCUUUCGCCUGUGACGAAGCGUGAGUGACGGUAAUGGGUAAAGAAGCACCGGCUAACUACGUG